UCUGAAGAUAAAUAAUGAGACAGAUUUGACAGAACUUGCCAGAUGAGAACAUUCUCUUUUACAAAGUGAACAUUAGAACUUGAGCUCUUGUCAGUAACACUACUUGUUGAUUCCCACCACAUGAGAAUGUAUAGUGUUGAGGAAACUCUGUGGCUGGGAAGUUAGAUAAUAGUUCAGGGUGGGGCUUGCCCACGUCUAUUUGUAUUUGCAGGCACUGAAGUAAAGUAUAAUACUGUCUUGUGGAAGAAACAGAAGAGUUACAAUAUGGGGACAAAACCCUUUUACUUUCUGAUAUUGGGAAUCCUCCUAGCAUAUUAUAUUUAUACACCGCUCCCAGAUAAUGUUGAAGAAUGAUGGAAAAUAAUGCUCUUUUAAAAACCGCAUCAUAUUUGCUCUUCAGAGACUCAGAUGUCAAGAUCAAAAUCAAGAUCCAGGCUUUAAUAUAUCCUGCCGUUCAGAGUUUUGAUAUGGAUUUACCAUCACAUCGAGAAAAUUCAAUUAUCCAUUUUUACCCAGAUCACUCUUGUUCAGGCUCAGGAGCGAAUAUUUUACUACAGAUAGAUCACUCAAGAAAGCAGUGUUUUUCAACCAACACAUACCUCUAGAAUCAAGUCAUCAGUUCAAGUUUGGUAAUUGAGGUUCCUUGCUCCCUGAGAUGUUUAAGAAAGGCCACAUUUAUAAGAAUCCAACUCAUGGUAGUUCAGAGCUGGCUAAAAAAUAUCCAGGGUUCCUAGACAUGAGAGCUUCACCUUUGCUGGCUGAUGACAAUACAUUACAUGGUUUACCCCUGACCUAUGUCAUCACUUGUUAAUAUGACGUCUUAAGAGAUGAUGGACUCAUGUAUGUUAGUAGGCUUCAGAAUGCUGGAGUUCAGGUGGUCCAUACUCACACAGAGGGUGCAUUCCAUGGAAUAUUUUCUCUUCUGCCAAUUAAAAUGCGUUAUAGAACAACCAAUCAAUAUAUUAGUUGGCUACAUGAAAACCUGUAGUAUAAUAAAAUCGAAUCAAUUUAGAAAAACACAAGCUCCAAUACUUCAGGAAAAAGAAUAAAGACCCAAUGGAUUGAUUAGGAAUACACAUUUUAUUUACAAGUCUCCCUAAAUCUGCAUAUACAUAGUAGUUGUUAUUAUCAGUGGAUGAUUUUUAUACAUUAGUCUGAGAGUAAUUCACUCUCUUUUGUUCCUUAGAGUACACUAGAUUUUAUGUUUCUGUUACUGUUAUCUUAAAAUCUCUCAUUUUGUUCCAUCCCUUUUUUUCUAACUUGAUAAAUUUUACCAUAGUCAAAAGAAAUGUCUGCUGUUUAAUACCAAAGCUUCCCUCAGAAUGGCGUUAGGUCCAUGGAGAAGCCUCAUUUACCACUGGUAUGAAUGAAGUUGUCACGCUUUCUAAAUGUAUUUGUACCAGUUUGAUGUCACUUGUUUACCAUUGUAAAAUACAUUUCUUAAUGCACUACCCAAUUCCUUAGUCCAGGACACCAAAAUUUAAACAAUUAUAUAUUAAAGGUAUCAGUGAAUCUCUUAAUUCUUUGAUGAGAGAAUAGUUGACAGACUUUCUGAAAUAUUAGGAACUCAAUAAUUUGAAAAAAGUCUUUCAAAAGUCUUUCAUUGAAUCCAUCCAUGAUUGGUGUUUGUCAGUUAUUCAUUCUCUUCUUACUUCAAAGGACAUGAUGCUACAACAGAAAAACUUAGCAUAUAAAGCCAGUGCCAAUGUUAGUCAGAGUUUAACAUUCUGAAAACAUUUGCUGAACUGAGUCAGCAUAUUACGUGUGAUACUUUCACAUAAACAGGCACAAUCAUUGCCAAAUAAAUAAAUGGAUAUGGAUUAGACAAGAACAGAGGUCCAGAGGCACAAUUCAUAUAACUGUUCUUACGUAUAUUUUGUUACAUUUGUUCCUGAGUGUUUCAUGCUUGAAGCUGUUGCAAAUCGUAAUACUUAUUUUUGUAAUUUUCAUUUUUUGAAUGUUCAUCUCUAAAAUACAUUAUAGAAGUAUAAUUUGUUUUACGUAUUGAUGAUGUAUCCUGAGACCUUGCUUAAUACACUUAUUAGUUCUUAUAGCUCUAUAGAGGAUGAUUUAUAAUUUUCUACAUAGAGAGUCAUGUCAUCUGUAAAUAAAAAAAGAGUUUUUAUAAUUCCUCUUCAAUCUGCAUGCAUUUUACAUCUCUUUCUUGCCUGUAGGACCUCCAGUAUAAGUUGGGGGUAAAACAAAAUUGGUGAUAUCCUUUAUUUUAAAUGGAUAUCCUUUGUUUUUUCCAAUGUUACUGGAAAGUAUUCAGUUUUUAACACUUUGAUCUUGUUAGGUCUGGUUGUUUUAUAGAGGCUAUUUACCAAACUGUAUAAAUGCUUUUCUAUCUCUACUUUGCUUAGUGACUUCCAGACAAGGAGAAUGAUUGUUGAAUUUUGUCUAAUGUGGUUGUUACAUAUAUUGAGAUAACCAUAUGCUUUUACCCCCCAUUAUUCUGUUUAUCUGGUUGAUUAAUCAUAAAAAGUUAAUCAAAUUUUGCACUCCCGAGAUAAACUUCACAAUGUCAUGCAAUACUUUGUAUAUAUUAUUUUUCUAUAAUAGUAAUUUGCUAAUAUUUUGUUCAAGAUUUUUAUCUAAGUCCAUGAGGAACAUUGAUCUGUAUUUCCCAUUUCUUGUUACGCCCAUUCUGGUUAAAGCUGGUCUCUUAACAUGAGUGGGAAUGCUAUUUUGUGAGAAAGUUUGUAUAGGAUUGGUAGCAUUUCUUUCUUAUCAAAACCAUCUGGGAGUACAAUUUUCUCUGUGAAAGAUUUUUAAUUAUAAAUUCAAUUUCUGUAAUAGGUGGAGGGCUAUAACACGUAACUUUUUAAAUUCCAGUUUCAGUACUUCAUGUCUUUAAAAAAGAUUAUCUACUUACGUAGCAAUAGACCAUUUCUAAAAUAGCUCCCACCUCCCACUAUUCACACAAGUGUGUAAUCUCCUUUCUUUAAGUAAGCUGGGCUUAGUGUUUUCUCCUGUAGGUAUAGAAUACAGGAAAAGUGAGGGGACGUCACUUCCAAAAUAGGUUAUAAAAGAUUGUGAGUUCUUUCCUCUCUCUCUCUCUCUCUCUCUCUCUCUCUCUCUCUCUCUCUCUCUCUCUCUCUCUCUCUCUCUCUCUUCCUUUCUCUCUCCCUCACUCCCUCCCUCUGCUCACUCUAAUGAAUCAAGCUGUCAUGUUGUAAACUGCCCUAUGGAGAGACCUCUAGGGUAAGUCUCUGAGGGCAGACUUCUUUCAACAACCAGUAGGAAUCUAAGGCUCUUGAAAGUGGAUCCUUCUCCAGUUGAAAUUGUAGAUGUGUCCGACACCAAGAUUAUUUUGUGAAACACUCUCAAACACAGGACCCAGCUAAGCUGUGCUGAAUUUCUGAUGCACAAAAACUGUAAGAUAAUAAAAGUUCUUUUAACUCACAGAUGUUUGAGGUCAUUUGCUACAUAGCAAUAAGAUAUCUAAUAACACUUCAUCUAAGCUCUCGGGUUGACUGAAAUAGGCUAUUUCAAAAGCUUUAAUAACAAGUUUGACUUAACUAAAAUGUGGAGAAUUUUAGAUAAACCAAUGAAAAAAGUCUUUGUUGUCUUUUUUUUUUUAAGCAUUAAGGAGCAAAUUUUUCUAUUACCUAAUGGCAUUCUUAGGAAACCCAAAAUACACCUUGAUAAUUUUAUUAUUCUGAAUUUAGAAACUGUAUUUGGGAAAUACACAAUCAAGAAUAGUUAGUUGUUAGAGUUAGUAGAUACAAUAUAGUCAUGGGGAUAUGAAAUACAGAAUGGGGAAUAUAAUCAACAAUGUUGUAAAGAUUAUGUAAGGUGCCAGAUGGGCACUGGACUUUUUAAGUGGAUCACUUCAUACACUGUGUAGAUACCUGACCAAUGCACCGUACAACUGUAGCUGAAGUAGAAUUACAUUGUAUGUCAAUGACAAGAAUAUGUAGCAUAAGGAAAAUAGUAAAUGUUAUUGUAAUAGUUAUAGAAGAUGUUAGAGGGUAGGUGUUUGGUUGCUU
ensembl:lncRNA